AGGAUCCCGUUUGACCUACGGCAUGGUGUGAACAGGUUAUAUGCGGUGCAGUGUGAUAUUGGAAUAUGCUGCAUCACGUGUAACCUUCCUAUACCGUGCUGUGUCUCUCCUGUAGAUUGGU
rnacentral:precursor_RNA from 13 species